AGUGAACGCUGGCGGCGUGCCUAAUACAUGCAAGUCGAACGGAGUGGCGCACGGGUGAGUAAUAUAUAGCUAAUCUGCCCCUUGCUGGCGGACAACAGUUAGAAAUGACUGCUAAUACUCCAUAGCAAGGGAUAAGACUAUAUCGUAUCAGCUAGUCGGUGGGGUAACGGCCUACCGAGGCUAUGACGCGUAACUGGUCUGAGAGGAUGAUCAGCAAGAUUGGAACUGAGACAAGGUCCAAACUCCGACGGGAGGAAGCAGUAGGGAAUAUUGAGCAAUGGGGGAAAGAAUGACGCAGCAACGCCGCGUGGAGGAUGAAACUUAUCGGAGCGUAAACUCCUUUUGUGAGGGAAGCGGUACCUAACGAAUAAGCACCGGCUAACUCCGUGCCAGCAGCCGCGGUAAUAC
rnacentral:rRNA from 1 species